rnacentral:lncRNA from 1 species
UUAAGUCUCAAAUCCCAUCCCCAAUCAGGCAAUGGGUGCGUGGGUGUCUAGUUCCACUAGGGUAAAGUCAUUUGUGAUCAUCAAUUUAUAAAUGAUUUGUGGAUCAUUGUUGAGCCCUUGGCGGGCUGAAGACAGCAAGAAGCAAUUAGUCUUCUGAUCUACAUGGUUUGUCAACAUAAAAGGUUUGGGCUGACACGUCCUCCAGAUGACACCCAUUUCUUGGCAUGGCUGAGUUGGCCACAAGGCCUUUGUUGUUCAUUCAUCCUGCCUGAAGAAGCCCAGGAGAUGACAUCUUCUCUUGACCAAAUAAAGCGUUCUGAGCAUCUCAUAAUUUUUCAGGAUAAAUUUCUCCAUGUGUGAAGACUUUCGUUGCUUCAAGCAGAGUUUGUGGACAUUUCUGCAAACCACCUCCACCCCCAUCUAGAACUGCUUUGAUGCCUCGACUUUUUCUAACAAGAGGCAUAGCAUAGCCUCUCCCACUUGGAGGCAGGAGGUAGGCUGAGCCCAGGAUAGGCUACUGACUCCCCAGGAAUUGUAUCAUUGACUUCCGGACUGGGACAGAAUUUGGCUUGGAGUUCUUGCCGCCUUGCCCUGCCCCCUUACCUAUUGGGAGGUCCUGCUCCUUGGUCACCUGCUCGGCUUGUCUACUACUUGCCUGGUUCCAUUGCUCCACACCUUCCACCUUUGUACAAGAUCUGAUGAGAUCUUGUUUCUGAUCCUAGUUUGUCUCUACCCUUUCAUCCCUAACACACAGUGUCUUCCCAGCCACCUCCCUCUAAGAAUCUCCAUAAAUGGCACCAGUAAGAUUUGUUCUUGCAGUGGUUAUCUGUUGUUUUAGCUGGCCCAACAUCCAUGUUUUCACCUCCUGAUGUUAACAUCUUGGUAUUCCUUUGGGGAGCACCCUUCGGCUGCAAAGAUGCUCAUAUGAUCUGGCCAAUUAGUAGAGCUUAUCAUUUUGGCUACUGUGAUUGGUCCAGGGAGGGACAUGUGACUUAAGUUGUUCCAAUGAGAGUCACACCUGGGACUUGUGCCAUGAAUUCAGAGAAUGCGGUGCUCUCUCCCUGUUGAAGUUUCUGAAAUGGGAUAACCAAAUCCUUAGGCUUCUGGGGGCCAUGGUAUGAAAGGCUCCUAUUUUGGGAUUGAAGCCACUAAGAAGGAAAUAGGAGCCACAAGAUGGCAGGGUGGGGGUAAAGAAAAAGAUCCACUAAGUCCUAUGACUUUACUUGGGUCCUUAGAUUCAACUGCUCUGAAAGCC